rnacentral:misc_RNA from 1 species
UCAAAACCUGCCUAGCAGAGCAACCCGCGAACAAGUGAAAACAUACCCGGGUAGAACGAGGAGGGGCGCACGCCCCGAUCGCCUGCCCGUCGGACCACGGCCCCUCUACAAACGCAAUGAUUUGCGGGCGGAGGGUGGGUUGCUGUGUCCGGGCAAAACCAAAAACCGGCGCGACAGGCGCCAAGGAAAUCUUAGCGGAAAAAGAGGGUUGUCCCGUUUGCGGAGGCAGCCUUUGGAAUCCGAUACU